GACGUCAACAUUCCAAAGCUGUCGUACGAUAACGAUAACAAAAGUUUGUCCUGUUUACAACAGGAAAUAAAUUUCUGAGUCACGUCGUGUUGAGAGGACGCAGUUACUGCUCAUUUAACUUUAUUAUCAUGGCAGAAGACAACUCAGACAGCCAGAAUGAUGAAAUCGAGGCUUUGUCCGCCAUUUAUGGUCUAGACUUCCACACAGAGAGUGUCGAGCACAAAUCCUAUAGUAUAGAGAUCGAGGAGGGUGAGCUGACAUCUCUCUUGCAGGUGACAAUGCCUCCAGACUAUCCGAGGACCUCUCCUCCCAUUUACAUGUUAAGUGCGCCAUGGCUGAAGGGAUUCAAGCGGCUUGAACUAUGUGGAUACUUGGAGGAAAUAUAUCUAGAAAAUGCUGGGGAGAGCAUCAUUUACAUGUGGGUGGAAAGGAUACGUCAGUUCAUGGUGGAGCACGGUGAAGUGAAUGAACAGGAGACUCAUGAUGACCAGAUUGCUACAUGUUUAGCAUCAGUAAAUCUCGAAGAUGAGACAGAUGACCUUUCACCAUGUCCCGAGAUAUUUUCCGGUGAGAUCAUCUCUGACCGCAAAAGUCACUUCCAACCACAUCUAGCAGCUGUAAAGUCACAAACUCAUGUCAGACAAGUUUUGAGGAAGCUGUAUGAGAACAAGAAGGUUGCAAAUGCAACUCAUAAUAUGUAUGCCUUCCGCUUUGUGCCUGAGGGAUCUUCUAACAUCAACCAAAACUGUGAGGAUGAUGGAGAAAUUCAUGCUGGGAGUCGCCUCUUGCACCUGCUCCAGAAUUGAGUGUUAUAAGGGACAAACUCUUCAAUAACAUCCUCAUCUUAACUUUGGUGUACCACCAAGCUUUAGCUAAAUAUGCCAAGCCUUUGAGAGCCAGCUCCCACCUUCUGGUAACCAGUUGGUCUGGCUCACUCUACAAGUUAAGAAGCGCUUGAGGAUAAGAGUGUGACCCAAAACUGAGAAAAACUCCACCAGAAAAUAUACAUGCAGCAAAGCAAGUGAUUGGUUGAAGAAAAUAAGUUACCCCCAAGAUACUUGAUGCCAAGGACGUUUUGGUUGUGGUAACAAGAUGGUACGGGGGCAUACACCUGGGGCCUGAUAGGUUUAAGCAUAUCAACAAUGCUGCUCGACAAAUUUUGGUCUCCUGUGGCUUCGUCGGCACACGAGAUGAUAAGGGCAAGAAAAAUAAAAAAGGAAAAUAAUAUACUAAA